GCUGUCUCUGACACUGGAGCGAUGAACACCAUUUUCCCCAAAAGAUUUUCAUUCAGCUGGUGUUUUGAUGAAGGUGGUGUAGAGCACAGCUCCAAAAUCCUCCAUAUAAGGGGUUGCAUAGAAUAAUCAAUUUAGAUUAAUACAUUCACAAAUUGAAUUGUCAAGGUAGAUACGAGACUGAGAAGGUAGAUACGAGACUAAGAAGGUAGUUACGAGACUAAGAAGGUAGAUACGAGACUAAGAAGGUAGACACGAGACUAAGAAGGUAGACACGAGACUAAGAAGGUAGACACGAGACUAAGAAGGUAGAUACGAGACUAAGAACAUAAGCUCCUGUGUUGUACAGUGACUCAUGUGGAACACUACACAGCAGGUCUGGUGUAAAUUCUAGAUAGUGUGAACAUGUUCGAACAAAUAUUAUUAUUAUUAUUAUUAUUAUUA
ensembl:lncRNA